UACGGGGGGGGCAAGCGUUGUUCGGAAUUACUGGGCGUAAAGGGCUCGUAGGCGGCCUGCUAAGUCGAACGUGAAAUCCCUGGGCUCAACCCAGGAACUGCGUCCGAUACUGGUUGGCUUGAAUCCGGGAGAGGGAUGUGGAAUUCCAGGUGUAGCGGUGAAAUGCGUAGAGAUCCGGAGGAACACCGAAGGCGAAGGCAGUGUCCUGGGGAGUACCUGACGCUCAGGUGCGAAAGCCAGGGGAGCGAACGGG
rnacentral:rRNA from 1 species